ACUAAAUUAAUAUUACUUUUAUUAUUUAUUGAAGAAUAAAUUUUGCUAAUUAUAGUUUAUUUGUACCGUGAGGGAUCCCUGAAAGAUUAUGAAAACUUAAAUUUUUCAAAGAAAAAUUGAUUUUUUGUACCUUGUGUAUCAGGGAUAAUUAAUUAUAUUCAAUAUAUAUUGUUUUCUCGAAUCAAGGGGGGCUAGGAAAUUAUAUAUUUUAUUGUUGAAUAAAUAUUUCCAAUAUUUUCUUAGUGAUGAAACGUUAUUCGGCCCUUGUGAUAUCUAGUUCCUCUAGAAAUGAAUUUAAUUCACUUUUUUAGUGAUAAUUUCUUAUAUCUGGGAAUUUUUACUAUUGAGACAAUUUCUGAUGGGAUAAGCUAUUGGAAUUAUCAACUAUAUUUAUAUUUUUAUUUAAAGUUGUGUAGGAUUAGAAUUUUUCAUCAUUUAAAUAAUGUUAUAAUUUAGCUUUUUAUUAUUAUUAUUUUUAUUGAUCUUAGUUUAUAUAUAGAGGUAAUUUAUUCAAUUUUUAUUUUAAUGAAAUUAUGAUUGUAUUAGUAUAUUAUUUAGGUUUAUUGAGAUUAAUGUUGAUAGGUAAGAUUAAGGAACUCGGCAAAAGUCUUUCCGCCUGUUUAUUAAAAACAUGUCCUUUUGAAUUUAAUUUAAGGUCUGGCCUGCCCCAUGAGGAUUUAAAUGGCCGCGAUAUUUUGAUCGUGCAAAGGUAGCAUAAUCAUUAGUUUUUUAAUUGAGAGCUGGAAUGAAAGGUUGGACGAGAAAGACUCUGUCUCAAUCUUAUUUGGGUAGAACUUUAUUUUUGAGUUAAAAAGCUCAAAUUUGUUUUAAAGACGAGAAGACCCUAUAGAGUUUAAUUAUUAAAAUUGUUUUUUGAUUUAGGUAUUUAUUUCUUUUGAUUAUUAAAAUAAUUUGGUUGGGGUGAUCAAAGAAUUUAAAUAACUUCUUUUUUUUGUAAUGCUGAUUGGCAGAUUAUUGAUCCACUUUUAGUGAUUAUAAGAUCAAAUUACCUUAGGGAUAACAGCGUGAUUUUUUUGGAGAGUUCUUAUCGAUAAAAGAGUUUGCGACCUCGAUGUUGGAUUAAAGUUUACCGUUGGUGAAGCCGCUAGCGAUUUUGGUCUGUUCGACCAUUAAAACUUUACAUGAUCUGAGUUUAAACCGGCGUGAGCCAGGUUGGUUUCUAUCUUAAAUAGAAUAAAAUAUUUUAGUACGAAAGGACCGAGUAUUUAAUAGAUUAUUUUUUGUUGAAUAUUAUUAAUGUUAUCUUGGCAGAUAAGUGCAU
rnacentral:rRNA from 1 species